rnacentral:pre_miRNA from 1 species
AAUAAGUACAAUCAUGAGUUUCCGCAUCCAACUUUGAUUGUCCGUCUUAUUUGAAAUUUUUUUAUGAUUAGCAUUUUUGUUAUUAUGAGAUGAUAAAAUAUGAAUAGUACUUUACUCGUGACUUAUGUUUUUAUUUUUUUCUAAAAGUUUUCAAAUAAGACGAACGGUCAAAGUUGGGCGCGAAACCAUAGCUGUACUUAUU